rnacentral:rRNA from 1 species
GGUAUGGGAUGAGCUUGCGUCCGAUUAGCUAGUUGGCGGGGCAACGGCCCACCAAGGCGACGAUCGGUAGCCGGCCUGAGAGGGUGAUCGGCCACAUUGGGACUGAGAUACGGCCCAGACUCCUACGGGAGGCAGCAGUAGGGAAUAUUGCACAAUGGGGGAAACCCUGAUGCAGCAACGCCACGUGUGGGAAGAAGCAUUUCGGUGUGCAAACCACUGUCAUGAGGGAAUAAGGCCCGCCUUCGGACGGGAUUGAAUGUACCUUGAGAGGAAGCACCGGCAAACUUCGUGCCAGCAGCCGCGGUAAUACGAGGGGUGCAAGCGUUGUUCGGAAUUACUGGGCGUAAAGGGAGCGUAGGCGGAGAUUCAAGCGGAUUGUACAAUCCCGGGGCCCAACCCCGGCUCUGCAGUCCGAACUGGAUCUCUUGGAUAGUUCAGGGGCAGGC